ensembl:lncRNA
CGACCCAAACCCAAACCCAAACCAAAUGCAGCGAAUGGGAACAGAAACUCUUUGGAACAGCCAAGUGUCUCAAUGAAGGCAGGAGGCAGACUCCUCCCUGGGGGCAGCUGCUAAGCUCAGGUGUUGCACCAAGCACCAGCUCCUGGAUUCCAGCAAGGAAAUGCUCCCUCGUGCUUCACCUGCCGUGAAAAAACUGCUGGUGUUAAACCUGACUGCGUUCUCUUUGGGAUUUUAAAGUCCUUUUCAAAGGGGAGCCACAGAUUCACCGUGCCCUCUUCACCUCUGCAGAUAUAUUGGUAGAAAUUGAACCUGAAUGGGUUAUUUCCACCCCCUGCUCUUUUCCUUAAUUCGUUUCGUAAGGCACACACUGCAAAAACCAACUGUGGGAAGCCUUGAACGCAGAGCAGCAACGCCAUCGCUGCGAGAUGAGCCACUCACUGCCAUUGGAGCGAACAAAAGUUGGGAUGCAUUCAGUUAAACCUCAAUGAAAAACGUUCUGCUUGGAGCACGCUGCAUUUGUGCCUACAAAGAGGAGCCGACUGGUGAAGUCAGGGUAAGAGGACGAUGCGUCUGUAAGGUCAGGAGGUGAUUGG